rnacentral:rRNA from 1 species
AGUGAACGCUGGCGGUAUGCCUAACACAUGCAAGUCGAACGGCAGCACAGUAAGAGCUUGCUCUUACGGGUGGCGCGUGUCGGACGGGUCCGGAAUACAUCGGAAUCUACUUCUUCGUGGGGGCUAACGUAGGGAAACUUACGCUAAUACCGCAUACGACCUACGGGUGAAAGCAGGCGAUCUUCUGACCUUGCGCGAUUGAAUGAGCCGAUCUCGGAUUAGCUCGUUUGCGGGGCAAAGGGCCACCAAGGCGACGAUCCGUAGCUGCUCUGAGAGGAUGAUCAGACAGCUUGGAAGUGAGACACGGUCCAGACUCUUACGGUGGGCAGCAGUGGGGAAUAUUGGGCAAGGGGGGAAAGGCGGAUACAGGAAUAUCGGCUGAGUGAAGAAGGCGUUAGGGUGGGAAAGCCAUUUUGUUGUGAAAGAAAAGAAGCAGGUUAAUACCCCGUUGUUAUGACGGUACCGAAAGAAUAAGCACCGGCUAACUUCGUG